AUAAAAGUAAGCAUUGUGCUAUUUAAAUGUGCUUUAUCUUGAUACCUCUUAGAAAGAGCUGAAGGAGUGAAAAACACUCAGGGCCCGGUUCCAACUUCCCUGUUCAUUGAAGUACAUCCUAAGAGUCCAUUAAAGGAACUAGAGACAUAGACGUGAAUAAGACAUAGACUCUUUCCUUUCCCACAGGUCACUGCACCUCAGCAGAGCCAGGAUCUGUCCCCUCUGAAGGACAGGUAUAUCACUGGGUACUUGCCACUGAAGUUAGUAGCAGUGAGAGCGAGACUUUAGCUAAAAAGUGUUCAAACCUUGAUUAUUCCCUAAUAUGUUACGCAUGCAUGCACCUAAGUAUACACACAGAAAACAUUUCAUAUACAUUCAAUGAUAUAUACACAUACACCCAUAUAUUAAAAUAUUUUAUAAGUAUUUCUUAAUUAUAAUACAUUAGAAUAUACUUAAAGACCUUUUCUUUGCUGUCCUUUAAAAAGCCUCAGCUUUUACUGAAUAAAAUGUAGAGAUCCAACAUCAGAGAUGAAAGAUCUUUGUGGAAACGUGGAUAUAUCUCCACAAAAAUGUAUGAAAAAUCUGCUCUAUUCAUCCAGGGAAUUUUCUUGUUUAUUUCUUGAAAUUCAGAUAUUAUUCCAAUACCCACAAAAAUUAGCUUAUAAAAGUGGUGAUAACGAUUCUUUGACAACCUCGAACAGUGUUUGCUUUGGGAACAAUUCCAGGAAGUUAGCAUUUGUGUUCAUGCUACGAGUGCAUAGGAGGAGGAAAAAGUCCUUCCAUUAUUUCUGGAUUUUAAUCUUAACCCCCAGACUUCUUCACUCUUCUUCUAUGCUAAUCAGGGGCAUCUGUGUGGAGUAAACAAAAUAUGUGCCUCUCCAGAGCAAGGCACUCCCAUGUUCUCCUGGAUGCACUUUACAGACACAGGUAAGGUGCUGUGCAGGGUAUGAGACAGCAGAGGUGCUCCCAGGAUAUGAAGAGCUUCGAAACAUGCUGCCAAAAGCUUGGGAAGGAAGGAAUGGCCAAUGAGGAAUGGGCAAAUGGCCUUCAUUAUCUUCAAAAGGCUACGUGAAGGGGAGGGGAACAGUUUCUGUGAAAGUAUCUUGUCACAGCAGCAAAGAGGAAUUUGAAAGUGGGAAGGUGUGGUAAGAAAAUCCAGAUUCAGUGUUGUUCACUUGCUGGAAAAAGUGUUAAGGUCAGGCAACCUCAGAUGACAGACAUGAAAUGCCUGAUCUUCUAGAGAAGUGACAGAUGUCCAAAAGCAAGGGUUUCCCCAGGAAUACAAGAACAUCUAAGACCUCAGUGAGGAUACGACCAGCCUGAAGCUGCAAGCUCCUUGGAUCCAAAGUCCUGUCCAGGAAAGAAACUCCUGCACUGCAUUUGGAGGACUGCGGUGGCUUACCUGGCCUCUUGCACCUGAUAGUCUUCACAUCAGGAGACCACUUGAGACUGGACUCACACAAAAUGGAG